CAUGCAAGUCGAACGAAGUUAUUUGAGCUUGCUUAGAUAACUUAGUGGCGGACGGGUGAGUAACACGUGAGCAAUCUGCCUUUCAGAGGGGGAUACCGAUUGGAAACGAUCGUUAAUACCGCAUAACAUAGUAAAUUCGCAUGUUUUUACUAUCAAAGAUUUAUCGCUGAAAGAUGAGCUCGCGUCUGAUUAGGUAGUUGGUGAGGUAACGGCCCACCAAGCCGACGAUCAGUAGCCGGACUGAGAGGUUGAACGGCCACAUUGGGACUGAGACACGGCCCAGACUCCUACGGGAGGCAGCAGUGGGGAAUAUUGCACAAUGGAGGAAACUCUGAUGCAGCGAUGCCGCGUGAGGGAAGAAGGUUUUCGGAUUGUAAACCUCUGUGUACAGGGACGAUAAUGACGGUACCUGUUCAGAAAGCUCCGGCUAACUACGUGCCAGCAGCCGCGGUAGUACGUAGGGAGCGAGCGUUGUCCGGAAUUACUGGGUGUAAAGGGAGUGUAGGCGGGACGGCAAGUCAGAUGUGAAAUUUAGGGGCUCAACCCCUGACCUGCAUUUGAAACUGUAGAGCUUGAGUGAAGUAGAGGCAGGCGGAAUUCCCCGUGUAGCGGUGAAAUGCGUAGAGAUGGGGAGGAACACCAGUGGCGAAGGCGGCCUGCUGGGCUUUAACUGACGCUGAGGCACGA
rnacentral:rRNA from 1 species